GAUGAACGCUGGCGGCGUGCCUAAUACAUGCAAGUCGAGCGAACUGAUUAGAAGCUUGCUUCUAUGACGUUAGCGGCGGACGGGUGAGUAACACGUGGGCAACCUGCCUGUAGGACUGGGAUAACUUCGGGAAACCGAAGCUAAUACCGGAUAGGAUCUUCUCCUUCAUGGGAGAUGAUUGAAAGAUGGUCUCGGCUAUCACUUACAGAUGGGCCCGCGGUGCAUUAGCUAGUUGGUGAGGUAACGGCUCACCAAGGCAACGAUGCAUAGCCGGCCUGAGAGGGUGAGCGGCCACACUGGGACUGAGACACGGCCCAGACUCCUACGGGAGGCAGCAGUAGGGAAUCUUCCGCAAUGGACGAAAGUCUGACGGAGCAACGCCGCGUGAGUGAUGAAGGCUUUCGGGUCGUAAAACUCUGUUGUUAGGGAAGAACAAGUACGAGAGUAACUGCUCGUACCUUGACGGUACCUAACCAGAAAGCCACGGCUAACUACGUGCCAGCCGCCGCCGUAAAAC
rnacentral:rRNA from 1 species